GUGGAUUUUGGUGCAGUGCAGGCUUUGUACCCCUUAAUUGGUGCUGUUUUGAUACUGGUGGGUACAAGACAGCUAAGGUAUAUAGGCCUGCCUGCAUUCCUGCACCCUUUGUUUAUGUGUACUACUUGCUGUUCUCUUGGUAGGGCAACCUGCCAGUGAAUGCCCUUAAAACUCUUUGAAUUUGAGAAUAACUUCUGAACUUAUCUAUUUACAACUUUCAACAAUGGAUCUCUUGGUUCUGGCAUCGAUGAAGAACGCAGCGAAAUGCGAUAAGUAGUGUGAAUUGCAGAAUUUAGUGAAUCAUCGAAUUUUUGAACGCAUAUUGCGCCCUUUGGUAUUCCAUUGGGCAUGCCUGUUCGAGCGUCAUAUGUAAAUCAAGCAUAGCUUGGUGUUGAGUAUUUGUCCUCUGGACUGACUUGAAAAACAUUGGCCACUCCUAUAUUAUGCAUAGUGCAGCACAUGUUACACUAUAGCCCUAUAUAUGUGUCCAAGAAGCCUACUUCUACUAGCUUGACCUCGGAUCAGGUAGGGAUACCCGCUGAACUUAAGCAUAUCAUAA
rnacentral:rRNA from 1 species